AAAGCACACAAACCAGUAAGUCAAGCAGGCUGGAAACAUACUGCCUUUUUACUUACUAUACAAUUCAGAGAAAAGUAGAUUAGUGCCUGCAGAAACUUAAAAGAGUUCAUUAUGAGGCUGAGUAGAAAUGUUCCUACACUGUGAGAUAAAGCUUUUUUGCCUCCAAAUUUCUUGACAAGAGCUGCUGAAAUGCUGUUCACAUUGUUCAGGGUUUUGCUUUGAAGCCAAUGCAAAGGAGCACAGGCGCUUACACAUCCUGGUGGCAAAUGUAUUUACACAAAACUCAGAGCCCCAGAUGUCAUCACUGCUUUUCUCAGCCCUGAAAUCAAUCAAUCACUCCACAAUCCCUCCGCCGGCUACAGCAAGCAGCCCUGCCUGACUUCUUGCUGCUGAGAUGAGGUUGGAGGACACCAGAUCUGGAAAGUUUGUCAAAAUGAAAACAGUGCGUGGUUCUGUUGCUGAUAUCUUUUAUGCGGGAGAAUUAAUAAUCUCAGCUUGUCUGUUGGCUAUGACCUUGGCAAAAGACAUGAAGCCCAUGGAGGCUCCUGCUGGUCCCUAGUGGGAACGUUCACACAGACAUCAUUUCCUGAGGAGCAGGGAGAAGAUAAGCCAUAAAUCUGCCUCUCUGCUAAAGCCAAACUGACAGAAAGAAAGAGCACAUGGCCUUCUAACACACACUGCACUAUCGUCACCCACAGCCCUUCAUUAUUUUGUUAACAGCUCCCUAAUUUUCUACUAUUAUUGCUACUGGAUACUUUGGAGAGGCUGUAAUCUGUCUUCAGGGGAGCCCACAGGGCCCACUGGGCUGCUGCACAGCAGCCACCAGCUACCACAUUCUGUACAGCAAGAUUUUCUGCUGUAAUGAACCCCCCUGGGAAACAAGGACUGUUAGCCCAGGCAAAGGACAACGCUGACGCGGGGCCCCUACCUUUGGCUGUUCAGAGCUACCCGAGGUGUCCCAGCAUGGUCCCACGUUUUGCUGUGCAGACUGCCCUCACUGCUGUAAGUGCCUUUUUACAUAUUCUAAGUGAAUUUUAUCACAGCAGCAAGGGAAAAGUUUCGGUAAUGGCAUUUACACUUACUUACUACUGCUUACCUGUGGAUUUCAAAGAGCCUUAUGCACAGUAAUUAGUUUAGCCUCAAAGCCAAGUAUUAAGGCAAGUAUUGACCUUCCAGUCUGAUAGGCAAAAGGUCUGAGAUGCCUUCUUGAAAGCUGAGUCUUUCAAAUGUAUUCAGCUAAUGCCUUCUAAGCAGCUCAACAUGAAUCACAGGAUCCUGCAGUGAAGCAGCUGAGGCAAUGCAGAUUGCAGACAUCUGCUGGGGGCAGGAGGGUUGGCCUUUCAGCCAGUAUUGAGCCUUCCCCUCCCCUGUGUAACACCAUGGGCAAAUGGCUCUGCACCAGCUUGGUGUGACCAGUUAUGGGUCAGAUCUCUGCUUUCAAUACCAGUCGUCCCAAUUCAUAUAAAGAAAAAGGUCAAUAAACACGUUCUAAAUGCAGUUUAGAGGCAAAAUGCAAUGCACAACAAGAUCCCCCGAAACACUUUAGUGACGGAAAAAUGGACCUACGCCAAACGCAGGACAUCUGAGCUUUGGAAUGAAACAAGAUAGAAAUGCUACUUUUACAGACAAACCCUAAAAGCCCAGACUUCAUCCACCCAAGGGCAGCCAAAAGUUUUCAACACUUCGGCAGCCAGCUCUCUCCUUCUCACUGUGCCGCAGAGGGAUGUUCUCGAGGGACAGGGCACACCAAGGGGCACCUCAAAUUUGCACAGGAGGAUUUUUCCUUCAGGCCAGCACGUAUGUGCCUAUCCUGGGACCUCUAUAUUUUGCACACUGCCAAUCACCACUUUUCUUGGAUUCCUUGAGACCUUCCUCAUCUCAUCUCUUUAGUCUCUUGUUCAGCAAAAUGUUGGCUAAUGGUUAAAACACGCAGUAGCCCAGUGACUCCUUCACUCAGCUUGGCUCAGCUUUUGUGCGUGUGUGGUAUCCCCCUGAACGCCUUCCAGGUGCAUUUCAAGGGCCGUUUUGUGUCAUAGUCCAAGAGGGAAGACCAGUGUGAAAUGCACUUCACGUUUCCUAGGGAAAUGACUGCUCAGGAGUUUCCAAAGUCAGAUGUUAGAAAGCAGUUGUCGUGGACCACACAGAUUUUUGGAGAAAAUCUCCUUUUCAUUAGGAAAAAAAAAAUCACUAUUUCAAUUUAUGCUGUCCUCAGAGAGAUACAGAACUAGCGGUCAGCUCUAUGCUGGUUAGUUACCAGGGAAUAAUUUUCAAAGCACUAAACAAAACCCUGGGUGAACAUAGAGACUUACAAAUUCUCCUCUACAGACAGAUAAAAUGCCCAAAUCUCUCUCCUCCUGUAGAUUGUCCAUCAACAUCAUAUAGCGCAGUGCUACUAUUUGCCUCUGGUUUCAGUGUAAAAACAAGAAAAGCCUGUAGAUACUGCUACAUUACAAUAUGUUAACGCACUGUACUUGCUGGUCUUGAGAUAAAUACAGAAUUAAGUGGAUGAGAUCCCACGACCUGUGUUAGAUAGAAGGUCAGACUUGAUAAUCUAAUGGUUGCUUCUGCCCCUCAUCUAUAGAUGAGUCCUUGUGGAGCUGUGCUUUGCUCCUGAUUUCAUUCCAGCAUCAAUAGGCUAAGCACUUCCUCUCCACCCAUUAACAUUAAUGAGAUUUUCAGACAUUUGGAGUAAGGGGAAGAAUGCAGCCUUACUAUUUGCAAUUGCAAAUGAGCUUGUGCUACAUUAAAUUCACUUAAAAGACAAUGCUUGUGUAUUUAGAAGUGGCACUUGCCUCCCACAGUUAACACAGAAGAAAUAUGAUGAAAUGGCACCAAAGUGGUCAGCUGCCUUCACUGAACAUACGCCAGUGCCCUGGGGCCAGCUCUGCACCUGCUCCGGCCUGACUGGAAGCACGCAACACUCAAAUAGCAAUGUAAUGAAGAAGAGAUAUUGCCCUCUUCUGAUAAACUGCAGUACAACUUGGUAUGGCUGAUGGAUGAGGAACCAUGUAGGAAAUAUGGCUUUGAAAGCUCCACUUUAUUCUUUUUUCCCAGACUUCAGUGUGUUGUGUGAGGUGUAACGAUCCCAGCUCUCCCGCUGAAGGCGGUAACCCAACAGCCUUGUUCUCACGGAACGUGCUCUCAGCUAUGAAGAGGAAAAUCCCUCACAGAUUUCAGAAGGUAGAGACAAGAAAACUUAAGGGACAGCCAAACAAGCGGAUGAGACCUGGGGCUGGCCCCGACCCGCCGUGACAGAUGGGUGAUGGCGAGAGCUGCGCUGCCGUCCUGCAGCACGGUUCUGCCCAGGGCCCGGCCUUGCCACUGCCUCGACAGGGAAGGACAGCACGUGAUGGAUCUGCCUGCUCCUGGCUCAUUCUUAAGUGCUGCCAUAAAUCACUGCUCGUAUUAAAAAGCUGAAAGGUCUGGAUGUCUUAUGAAUUUCAUUUUGAAAUGAAAACUUUCCGGCCUUUCCCCUCCAAUGCACACACACACAGACGGCGCUCAGCUCCGCCUGUAUGUGCAGCCUGGGAGCUCAGCCACAGUCCUGCUAACGCUUCCCAGUCCCCAGGCACAGAUGUUCUGUGACAGGGAGAGGGGACCCUGCAGUGGGAUGCAGCAGCAUGCCACGUUUGAGAGCACGAGGCUGUGCUGGUGUGUCCUCAGCUGAGUGGGGGUCCAUGGCAUCUGGCCUUGCCUUGGAGACCCUUCACUGUGAACCACAGAGCAGGACAACCCAAGCCCAGGAAGAGCUCAUGCACUGUGAACUUCAAAUCCACCAUCUGCUGCACUCUGCUGCUGCGUCUCUACUUGGGAGCUGAGGAUGUGGUUUUCAAGGAGAGGCUUGAGAGCCAGUUAGCAAAAGGCAUGCCUGGGAUAUCUGCAAGUGGUGCACCAGGAGGAGCACUGGGCUGGGGUAUGGAGUCAGCCAGGGUGGAGCUGGGAGUAGUCCUUGAAAAACAGAGCAAGGAACUGCAUCUUAACAUAGCUGGCGUCCAGAAGACAACGGAAACACUGACAUCUAUUUCUCUGUUGCAAAACAUUACAGUAGGAAGGGUGAGAUAAACUGGGUGGAGCAGGGAAACAGGGUGAAGUGGAUAAGUAAAUUCACAAAUACAUUAAAAAAAUCCAGAAGGAGAAAGGGAAUAGUCUGUUCUCUGGAUUGGCUAUGUAGUUAUGGAGAUAAACCACAGAAACACAUUUCUAGAUGUGGGAAAAAUUCCAAUGGAGAGGAUAAGGUAUGUCUGUGCUGAAAUAGAGUGAGGUAUCUCCAGCAUGAGAAACCUCCCUGGACCUGCUGGGAAUGUGGCAGGAGAGGCCAUACGUGACUCUGCCAUGUGCACAGGUGUCUCCCUGUGAGUCCUCCAAAUCCUCCCCUCGUACCUCUGGGUUGCUGCUUAGGUGUCACACAGUCAAGUAGAAAUACUUAUUUUCUUCCCAGCAGGAUACUCACAAUUUUAACUGAAUACAAUUUACUCAGUCCCAUGGUAAAUCUGAGUAAUACAUUUCCAAUUUUUAACUCAGCGUGCAAUGCGCCAAUAUUGCUCCCAAGCUUUACAAACCCAAAUAAGAAAAACAGAAGAUAGCUGCAGCAUAGUUGGUUUCUUUACAUAUAAUUCAAAGUGUUUAGCAACCUGCCGGAGGAGAGGGGCAUCACACAAUGGCAUGUUUAGCUGUGCUGAGCCCACAGCCCCCACCACUGGGCUGCAUGCUGUGCAUGGCAGAAACGAGAAGAGAGCUCGCCUUGUAUCUUCAUCUCUUUUUCCUCAUAUAAAAGACCUGAAUGAAUUCAUCUGGAAACAGAUUAGAAAAACACCCAAAUCCUCUGGAUAGUGGAUUUUUAAUCCUUGACUACAGUACUACAGAUUAACAUUGAAUUUCUUUUGCUUUCUUUGGUGAAGUUGUAUUUCACUCAGAUAAACCUCGCUGCUCCACAGAUAGCUAUUUCUGGCCCACUUAUCCACGCUGCUCACUAACAUUCACAGAAGGUGACUAACCAGGGUUGCUCUUUCUCCACAGCCUUAAUUACAGGAGCUCCAAAGUUCUCACCUUUCUGCCACCAUUCCGCCUGCUUGAGAAGACAAAAGAUCUCUUCUAUUAAAACGCCAGCAUCCAUCUAUAAUCUUAAUUACAAUAGGCUUCCCGGGAAACCUUUCUGCCACGGAAUGAAAAAUGAUUCUGGGUUAAUAACACGAAAAGCCUGUUUCAUCGAGAGCUUCCUUGCUGUGAUUCUUCUACCCUGAGACAAAUACCAGCAAUUCCAGUCCUGAGGGAUGCUCAACCCCAGACAAGCCACUGGCAUUCACUCCAAUUCCAGUGCUAUCAGGAUUAGGCCCAAAAAAGAACCAAAGCAAAAGACUGAAGAUGUACCACAACAAAGGAGAGAGGGAUUUGUUUGCUUCUGCAAGAAUUUCUGACAUAUUCUGCUUUAAAUCCUGACAAACCUGACAGGGUCCAACUUGCCACAUUAAGCCUUCUUACAUCGGAGCACGUGGGCAAUGUUAAAAGUAACUUUUGACAGUGGUUAGCACAACAGGAAGGUACAAUUAUUAGCACGAAGCCUUGUUAUUUUUCCUCAUCUCUACAGCUGUGUUUACUGUGAUUUCUAAGGAUCUCUGUCUCAUCUAAUAACAGAUCCAUUUAGGCACUGCGCACUAAGUGUUAGCUUACAAUGGAAGAACAAAUUCUUAGCAUGCUGUUUAAAUGGCUGGUAUUUUUUAAAAACCAUUCCCUCAACAGAAAGAAACUGCACGUAAUCUCUUUUUCCCCUUUCUGUUUUUUUACUGUUUGGUCUUGUUUCAACCUCCCAAGUUGGUCGAGCAGAAAAGGCCACUCCAAGCUGUUGUUUUCAGGACCCUUCUCGGCUCAGCCAAGCACAAUCUCCUUGCUCCUGCCAUGGCUCCUGAGCACGCCACGUCCCUGUCAGUCUCCUCCACGUCUCCUGAUGGGGCUGGCUCCCUCUUCAUUGCCCUUGCACCCUCACUGCAUGCCCCUCGGCACGUCAAAUCCCCACAGCGGGUCCUUGCUGCCCCUAAGGUAACCGCAGCACUCACCCAGGGGAUGGAAAGAGCAGGGAGAUCCCCCGACCAGCAGCAGGGCCAGGCGAGCGGAGAGGAGCCAGGCCGCGGCCCUGAAGCCCAAAGGAGUGAGUUGAAGCAUUCAGCUGUGCACACGGCAAGAGGCGAGAGCGUGUGCCUGAUGGAAACGUGCCCUCUCCUUCACAGCGGAGAACAGGGCGGCUUCUGUCCCAGGCACAGGGCUGGCGCUGUUCCUGCUCCUGCACUGGAGCGGGCUGCGCGGUGCCGUAAGCUGCUGGUGCAGGCAGCCUCUCUUCAGUGCAGGUAGCACACGGCGUCUUGGGGUUACACCAAAAUGCACUUGUAAGGAACUGACAGACACUGCAACUUGAUGCUGUCCUGGCUCAUUGAAUGGAGCUUGCCCUUCUCCAGAGCUGCCAGGUGACAAGCGUUCAGGGGUGGGGAAAAGCGACAAGUUCACAUAGUGCUGCAACAGCUGAUACUCCUGACAGGAGAAGCCAAUCUAAAUUACAGUUUGCAGCUAAGAGAGCUGUCAUUUCGGGCUCCGUGCACUUGCUUCCACCCACCAGCUCCAUAUGAAGGAAGGGCCAAUGGUUCCUCCCCUGCCUCAUGCGACAGACCCAAGCACCGCUGAGCCCUUCACGCCGGGAGGGCUCCCGUGGCACAAACGUCUCUCAUUGACAAGCUAGUAACUAACAGCAGAUUUUGCCCUUUGAACGUAUCAUGCUUUGGAUGAGAUGCAUCAGCAUGGCUGACUUGGAGAUUAACAGUGGCCUCCAAAUGCUCUGAACCCUUUUAGCUUUGCAUUUCAAAUAUGAAAGUGAUUUUGUGGAAGUCUGCUUAGCCUGUUAUUUCUAAAUCCCUUCUGGAGGUUAAUGGUAGCUGGAGCAGGUCACCAUGUGAAGGUCCCAUUUGCAAGGACCAGAUUUAAAUGCUUUUGAUCUGGCUUUGAUCUGCAACUCUAUAUCCAUUCCCAUACUCCAUCCCCAUGUGUAUUUUCCAGCUAGCGCAGGCAGGGAAGUCUUACAGAGCCUCUUCUCAACUCCUUCUGUUUUUGGAGAUCUUCUCUUCCUGCUCCGUGACCUAACUUUAUCUCUGGCUUUGUUUUGUUUGAAAACAAGCUUCAUUCACAAGAGAAAGCAUUACACGGGAUUCACUGCUCCCAGGAACACACUGUUAUUAUACUCAACUCACCAUCGCCUUUCUUUCUACAAGUGGCAGUGCAUGCCCCCACAUUCAGUCUCUUCCCCCAGCGCUCUUCAGAAGGAGUCAAGGCGCCCGCAAAUUAAUGUCACUGUGUACUCUCAGCCCCUUCCUAAUGCUAUAUAGAUAAGCCUAGCUAUUUUAAGGUUGGCCUUAAUGGUUCAUUCUGCCUGAAUUUCUUUUUCGCUCACGUUUCACACUGCUGUUUCUCGCACUCCUCAGCUGCUCUCUAUUUAACCCCCACAGCAUCUCUGUUGCAAGCUGCACUCAGUACCACCAGAGCUGAAGUUGAACUUUCAAACCCAUAGCGGGCUGGGAGCAGAGGGGGGGAGAUGCAAACAUUUCCAAAGGAAGGCAUAAAUGUUAAACAGGAUGAGUUACAGGCUGCUCUGUAAGACACUUAGUAGUUUGGAGAUUAAGAUAAAGCAGCUACCAUACACUACUAGUUUAAACUUGAUGCAGACCAUCUGCUCCUAUUUCACUUUUAAUGAUUCAUGCUCCCUUGUCUGCAGCUCCAGCGAGAGAAGGACCACCUGAGCAGAGAUAAACUGACAGGUUCGCUUACACCAUUUCCAGGAGGAGAAAACACUUGCCAAGCUUAGCUGAGAAAAAUGGAACCGCCGAGCAGGCAGCUAGGCUAUACAGAGCCUGAGCAUCAGCCUAGUGACACUUUUCGUUCCCUCUUUAUUUACCCCAGCACUGAAGGCAGGACCGGGCCCUUCUUGUCCUUCCUGCCCUACUAACUGUAUCUCAACCAAGUGUGAUCGCUAAAUCUUAGGAACUCAACAGCAGCCCAUAACUACAGGCUGUUGGAAUUACCAUGAGAUCUCUCUGUUCCCUGCAGUGAGGUAGUGGAGCGGUCCUGAAGGCAACAGAUGUGCACAUUCAAUGGGAAUAAAUGCUAGUUCCCAAACAAACCUCAGAUAAACUGCAGAGGAAUCUGCAGGUGCUGGCAGGAUGAAUAACUCCUCCUGAAGUUGCAUCUGGAACUGCUAUUGCAGACUGAAGUCCGGGAUAAAAAUAAUACUUAUCUGGUCUUCUGCUGUCUGCAAACUUCAAAGCACACUGCAUUAUCCCUGCUUUCCAGAUGUGAGAACCAAACCACUGAGAACUGGUCCGGAGUUACUGCAUUUUUCUACCCUUUUCACAGGGUGAGCCUUGUCCUCCCAGGGACCCUCCCGACCACUCUUCCCUGCCCAGGUGCAGCAGGAGCCCACGGGAAGCGCAACUUGGCUAGGUUCGAGGCACGGCAACCCAGUGCUAUCAGCACUUCCCAUUUUCUGUGAUUCUGCUCAUAUUUUGAGAUGAGGAUGGGGACGGAGAAUUGAGAGCUGGUUCUUUUUCAGCCCUGGUUCCCAGUACCUCCCUGGAAGAAUUUCAGGACACGUUCUCUCUUUAAAUAUUUGUCCUCCCUCAAGUUUCUAGUCCUCUCAGUUACACAGAGGUCAAAUUAUUAAAUUGUAGCCUCAACAUUCAGGCUGAGAAAUCGUGGCAUCAGCAGAUUACGGGUAUUCAAAAUGUUUGGUUUAGACUUGUAUGUUCCCCCUUUGUUACUCCUUUCCUAACCAAUAUUUAUGAGAUUUGCCAUUGGGUGUAACUUCCGUAUCAAGUUGGUUUUUAUGAGAAGUUAUUAACAGGCAAUUAGCAUUGCCUGUUGUGAAGACAUAUAGCAGCAACAUACACAACAAAACAACUAUCAGAUACAGCAGAGAAAUCUAACACAAUGCCAUCAAAGCUCAGUACAGUCAGAGCACUCCAAGAUGUUAUACCAGGAUAAAAAAGUCACAGAAGUCCAAACAGAGAAAAAAUACACAUUGAUUUGGUGUUUAAUUUUAUAAUACGAGUUUGCCAUACCCUUGAAAAUCAACUGGUAUGUUACUGAAAAAAAAAUACAGUUCAUGGGUAUAUAGGGGGCACAGCUAGAAGCAGAAGGAAGCACUUAUGUUUUUUUUCUGGCAAAGUACUAGGGUCACUGCAUGCAACAGAGAGUUGGGAAGUGCAGUUUAUCUCAAAUAGCUGGGCAAUAUUAAGCCAAAACAGUACAGUUUGGAGAAGUAACACUAAGAAGCUAAUUAGCGGGUACAGCUUAAACGAAAUAUUGUAACUCAGUCUAUGUGCUUUAACUUAUCACAUUGCACUUACUGCAUUAAAAACAACCAGAAACACGAUAGAGAAGGUGAAGGGAAGCAUGAAGGAAGAAAAGUGGUUUAAGCAAUCCCAUGGGGAAAAAAAUAUAUCCACUAGCAAAGUCACCGGCUGCCUGGGAACAGCUCGCUGGGUUUAACUAGCAUCCUGUACCCUUACAUUGGCUCAGAGAGGGAUGACUGCUCUACAAUGCUUGCCUGCAGAAGACAGUAAGAAAAGUUGGUAGACAGAUUUUUAGAACAUUAAACCUCACUCCAAGGGAGCAGGAGAAUCAGAGCCUGGCUCUGGCAUCAGAAAGCAAAGGAGAAAUAACACGGAGAAGAAAAAGGCCAUCUGCAGCAAAAAUACUGCUCCUACUUCUCUGGGCUGCAGGGUUGCUUUAGAGAAGCUCUUGCUUUUGACGGCAGAGUAUGACAUCUCUGUGGGACAAGAAAGGAAAGGAAAACAGAAAAGCCUGUGAUAGACAAAAGCUACUAAACACAAGAGACUGUCGAGGGAAUUAAUAUUUAUGAAAUGCAAAAAAGAUUGUGGUAAAAUAUGAGAUAACACAAACCUAAUAAAAGCAGAGCUGUUCUAGAUUAAAAAAAAGAUACAGAGCCUGCAAUCUGGUUCUGUACUAUCAAGAAACAAAUUCCCCUCUGUAUUCAGGCAAUGUCAAAACAAAAAAACACAUACAAAAGCCUGAUCCAAAAGUCAAUGAAGUGAACAGAAAAUCUCCCCCCUGGAUUCCAGGGAUUCCAAAACUUCUGGUUUGACCCUUUGGGAAUUUCUGAUCCUGUUGAGAACUGGAACCAGCCCCUGAAGAUAUCCUACUGCUCAUCCAGAAGCACAGAGAAAUGCCACAGAUCCAAAGGUUUACUGCCAGAAGUUAACAGCUUCUCUGCUCAGAACGAUGGAGCAUCCCAAGUCCUGUCGUGGGUCACUGAGGGCACGUUACCUGCAGUGCUAUGGAGACAAUUAUUUUUGAAACUGCAUAUAGGAGUUACUCCACUAAUGGACUCUUGGAGCCUUUGAAAAUCUUCCCCAUCACAAGUGUGAAAGAAAAGAUGCUUUCACUCUGAAACCCUCCUCCUGCCACACAGUCAUACUAUACCAUAUUCUGUGUACUCUCUAGUCUUCUAAUUUUUAAAGCCCGAUUGCUUUGGCAGAGCAAUAUGUUUUUUACUCCUACUGCUUCUCUCUCCUGAGAAGCAUUUCUUCUGACACCCAGCUAAAGUUUACAUUUCCUUUUUUUUUUUUUUCAAUUAAAUAUAUCCCUGGCCAGAAGAUCAUGCAUGAGGAAAUAGGUCAAUUCAAGAGGUCUGAAUGAAAACCACUGUGACAACCUCAAUUCUGAGCUUGUUUCUCUGUGGGUCGAUUGCUUGGAUGGGGUUUUCAUUUUAGGUAAGGGUGUUUUUUUCAUUUCCCGGCAUGGUUUGCUCUGGUUUAUGCCCAAGGACUUGGGCUAACAAAGUCCCAUGGCUCUGUGAAAGGAGUGUAAACAUAGAUGCUAAUCAUCUGAAAAUGUUACCCUUUGCACUGUUUUCUUCUUUAAUAGAGCUGCUCAGAUAACGGCCUUCAGACGAUGUAAUCGCAACCCAUAUCCCCAGGCUCAGAGUUACAGAAACCACAUAAAAACCACUGCGUCCCUUCCUCACAAGUAUCACAUUGGAAAGAGCAUUUGCCAUGGCGAGGAACGAGCAUGCCCUCAUCCCAAAGUACUUAUGCUGCAAGUGGUGGAUGCCACAGAGACCCAAACCACACAGAAAAUCCACAAACUGUGCUCUACUCCCGAUGAUUUUUGAGGCGAUGGCUGGGGAACACUCUGAUCCAGCACUGCCAUGGGAAGGAGCAGGACGCAACAUGCGGGGAGGGCUCUGGGAUGCCCCUAGCACCACGCAAGGAGCUCUGCCAGGGGAGGACCUGCCGACGAGCCCAACUCUCACUGUAGUGCCAUGUUAGCUGCAAAAGUGUGGCCAUGGGUCUGCUGUCCCAUCCAUGACUAUCCUGACCACCUGGAGAGCUCCCUAGGCCACAGGCUUGUGGUAUUCACUGAUACAGCUGUCCCUUUGGUCACCAGACCUGAGAACCAGUUGGAGGCUGUACUUGUGUUGAAGGCUGGGCUGAUGUCUGCCAGCAGGUCCCAAGCUCUGGGAGGCAGCCAUAGCGCCUGGUCCUUUCAGCUCAAACAUAUAUGAAGAGUCAAAUUCUCUACACAUCCGUGAGCACGCCCAUGGCAAAGCAGGCCUGGGUUUUGGUGAUUCACUGACCCUUGAGCAUUUCCAACCAUCUGGCUUCCCAGAACUUGCCAGUGUGGGAGGCUUGCUGCCAAACUGACAAAGUAAACAAAACGCAUGGAUAUGUAAACUCAUGGGAAUGCAGCUGGGGACAUAUCACUUCAUGGAGAUUUUUUUUAAAAACUGCAUCUGAGAUCACACAGGGUGAGUGUAUAGAGACAGGAUAAUUAAAAAGAUUCACUAGUACUAUAAGAAAACACUUUCUGAAAUUAUUUACUCAACAAAAUUUUAUGUUCAAGGAUGCUGGAGUUAUUCAAUAAGCAACUCAAAGUUAUACAGCUACUGCAAAGAAUAACAAAUGUAAUUUUGGAUGGAAAAUUUAUAGAUGUGUUUUUAGAAAGCACAUGUUGAUAUCCUCAUUUUGCUUUUUUUUUUUUUAAACAGCCCUGCCUUCUGUGCAUUCAUAGCCUUCCUGAGCCCUGUGCAAAGUUUGAGAGAAUGCGUACAUCAGUUCCUCCCAUGGACCUUUAAAUAGCAAGAGAAUAAAACAAAAAGCAAUCUCUAAUUAUACCAGUGAAACCACUUGACUAGUUAUGGCUGUAGUCAGUGGGCAUGAAGUAAGCUUGCUCCAUCUGCGGCCUAACGAAGUAGACAAACCACAGACUACUCCCAGACUCGGUUCUUACAAGUCUAAAUCUAGACAAUGGUAACUUACAUUACAUUUAGUCACAAUAAUCUGUCUUUUAUAUCUAACCUAGAAAGACCUUCAGAUUGAGGAAAAACGUGCAUUUUAUGUAAAGAUUUAAGAUGCGUAUUCAACAGCGCUCUCACCAGUGGACACUGAAAAGGUGAAUGCCACCAAAACCAUGAACAGACUGAACUCUGCUGUCAUCCCAACAUAAAGCAGAAGCCUUUCAUUUGGGACAUCUAUGAACAUCUAUGUAAAGCAUACGUGAUUCCCCAUAAUUACAAACUCUCUGCUGUACUAUGAAGCACAUAAACAUUAUUUCAAUUCAAUAAAGGCGCAACUUCUUUUUGAAUUGAACUUCCUUGACUUGCUCAAGCUUACAUGGUGAAUCUGUGCCAGAGCCAAGCUUGACACCUAACACUGUCCUGACCUCCUGCCAUUAAUGCCAGCUUUUGUGAGCAGUGAAUCCACUAAUGUAACAAUGAAAAUAAAGGUUUCACAGUUUCUA